AUUUGAUAUAACAUUUUUAUAUUACUAUUUUAAUUCCUCUCUUCUGCUACAUGAUUCUUAUUUGAUACUUUCAUGUUACUUUUCUAUUAUUGAUUUUCUGAUUGUUGAAAAUACUUCCAUGCAAAUGCAGGCUGCAAAAUCAGAUAAAAAUUCCAAACAAAAAAUGCCCGAGGGGAGCUGGAAGUGUGAGAAAUGUAACAACAUAAACUAUCCCUUCAGGACUAAGUGCAACAGACAGAAUUGUGGGGCUGAUAAACCAGCUGAAUCAAAGAAGUCCCCCUCACCAGCACCAGAGGAGAAUGAUCAGUGAGUACUAGACAUGUUUGAGGGUUGAGAAGGUCCACAGUUGUCAUCCAGCGUUGCUCAAUUAUGGGUGUUUGAAAGUCAGUCUUUUCGUCCUCAUGUUGCAGCGGUUGUCAAGUCACUCUACCUUCUUAUGAUCAGUGUCAAGUGUUGUAUUAUUGAAAUGGUAUUUUGGUCUUUAUGGAUCGUUUGAUGCAUUGUGUCAUCCAUCCUAAUCUGGAAAGAUUUUACAGGUUGGUUCUGGUUUCCUUUUAAGCUAGGUUUGUACUCUCUGGAUCAACUCAUCUAUUCUAGUGCGUACUGUUACCAUGAACUAUUAGUUUGUUACUAGAGGCAGAGAAAAACUUGGAGGCUGCAUAUUUCUGGUUUUCAUUUGGUUUUGGAAA